GACGAACGCUGGCGGCGUGCUUAACACAUGCAAGUCGAACGGACAGGCCCUGCUUUUGUUGGGUGCUCGAGUGGCGAACGGGUGAGUAACACGUGAGUAACCUGCCCUUGACUUUGGGGUAACUUCAGGAAACUGGGGCUCAUACCGGAUAGGAGCUCCUGCUGCAUGGUGGGGGUUGGAAAGAUUCGGCGGUUGGGGAUGGACUCGCGGCUUAUCAGCUUGUUGGUGGGGUAGUGGCUUACCAAGGCUUUGACGGGUAGCCGGCCUGAGCGGGUGACCGGCCACAUGGGGACUGAGAUACGGCCCAGACUCCUACGGGAGGCAGCAGUGGGGAAUAUUGCACAAUGGGCGGAAGCCUGAUGCAGCAACGCCGCGUGCGGGAUGACGGCCUUCGGGUGGUAAACCGCUUUCGCCUGUGACGAAGCGUGAGUGACGGUAAUGGGUAAAGAAGCACCGGCUAACUACGUG
rnacentral:rRNA from 1 species